CUGCAACAGGUUUUCUCGCAAGGAUUUCACAAGGUCUUCGUUCAGCCACGGGUUUGGACAAUGCGGAUUAUCCACUUCAGGCAUCUCACUACAACGACCUUAGAGGUGGCAUAAACUGAAAUAUAAAAGCUGGGUCUAUCAAGCAACUAAAAUCUGAUUUGAUGGUUAAAAGAUCCACAGCAUGGCAAGUGAGAUGCAGAAGCCUGGUUCCUGGAGGAGGAGCCAGCAUUGAUUCGUGGAGGGCAGUGUCCUCUCACAGGGGUAAGUGAGCAGGGGUAAA
rnacentral:lncRNA from 1 species